rnacentral:rRNA from 1 species
AGAGUUUGAUCAUGGCUCAGGACGAACGCUGGCGGCGUGCUUAACACAUGCAAGUCGAACGGAAAGGCCCUGCUUUUGUGGGGUGCUCGAGUGGCGAACGGGUGAGUAACACGUGAGUAACCUGCCCUUGACUUUGGGAUAACUUCAGGAAACUGGGGCUAAUACCGGAUAGGAGCUCCUGCUGCAUGGUGGGGGUUGGAAAGUUUCGGCGGUUGGGGAUGGACUCGCGGCUUAUCAGCUUGUUGGUGGGGUAGUGGCUUACCAAGGCUUUGACGGGUAGCCGGCCUGAGAGAGUGACCGGCCACAUUGGGACUGAGAUACGGCCCAGACUCCUACGGGAGGCAGCAGUGGGGAAUAUUGCACAAUGGGUGGAAGCCUGAUGCAGCAACGCCGCGUGCGGGAUGACGGCCUUCGGGUUGUAAACCGCUUUCGCCUGUGACGAAGCGUGAGUGACGGUAAUGGGUAAAGAAGCACCGGCUAACUACGUGCCAGCAGCCGCGGUGAUACGUAGGGUGCGAGCGUUGUCCGGAUUUAUUGGGCGUAAAGGGCUCGUAGGUGGUUGAUCGCGUCGGAAGUGUAAUCUUGGGGCUUAACCCUGAGCGUGCUUUCGAUACGGGUUGACUUGAGGAAGGUAGGGGAGAAUGGAAUUCCUGGUGGAGCGGUGGAAUGCGCAGAUAUCAGGAGGAACACCAGUGGCGAAGGCGGUUCUCUGGGCCUUUCCUGACGCUGAGGAGCGAAAGCGUGGGGAGCGAACAGGCUUAGAUACCCUGGUAGUCCACGCUGUAAACGGUGGGUACUAG